GAUUUCGGUAGUUUGCGAAAAAUUGUGUUUUCGUUAUCACUUGGUUGAUACCACACUUUAAUUAUAAUUAAUCACUUUAGUAACGAGUAUGCUCUUCGAUCACACUUGAAUACAUUAUAUAUUCCAUCCAUGUAUAUAUUAUCUAAGAAUGUAAAUAAGUACCAAGGUGAUUUUACAAAAUAUAAAGGUGAAUUGAUAAAUACACCUUGGUAAGAAUGCUAAGACAAUCGUGAACUACGAUUUAAGAUAGUUUAUUAUUAUUUAUUAAAAAAAUACUACUUUGAUAAUGUUAUCACUAUCAAAUACGCUGCAUAAA